rnacentral:rRNA from 1 species
AGGUGCGAUGCUACUAGCACUAAUGCACCGAAUCCCAUCAGAACUCCGGAGUUAAGUGUGCUUGGAAUAGAGUAGAAUUAGGAUGGGUGACCUCUUAGGAAAUCCACAUGUUGCACCCC